rnacentral:rRNA from 1 species
AGAAUCAACGCUGGCGGCGUGCCUAACACAUGCAAGUCGAACGAGAAAGUGGAGCAAUCCAUGAGUAAAGUGGCGACCGGGUGAGUAACACGUGACUAACCUACCUUUCAGUGGGGAAUAACCUCGGGAAACCGGGGCUAAUACCGCAUAAUGUCUACGGACCAAAGGAGCAAUUCGCUGGAAGAGGGGGUCGCGGCCGAUUAGCUAGUUGGCGGGGUAACGGCCCACCAAGGCAAUGAUCGGUAGCCGGCCUGAGAGGGCGCACGGCCACACUGGAACUGAAACACGGUCCAGACUCCUACGGGAGGCAGCAGUGGGGAAUUUUGCGCAAUGGGGGAAACCCUGACGCAGCAACGCCGCGUGGAGGAUGAAGCCCCUUGGGGUGUAAACUCCUUUCGAUCGGGACGAUUAUGACGGUACCGGAUGAAGAGCACCGGCUAACUCUGCGCCAGCAGCCGC